UACAGAGGGUGCAAGCGUUAAUCGGAAUUACUGGGCGUAAAGCGUGCGUAGACGGUUAUUUAAGUCGGGUGUGAAAGCCCCGGGCUCAACCUGGGAAUUGCAUUCGAGACUGAAUAGCUAGGGUGCGGAAGAGGGAAGCGGAAUUUCCGGUGUAGCGGUGAAAUGCGUAGAUAUCGGAAGGAACACCAGUGGCGAAAGCGGCUUCCUGGUCCAGCACCGAGGUUCAGGCACGAAAGCGUGGGGAGCAAACAGG
rnacentral:rRNA from 1 species